rnacentral:lncRNA from 1 species
GAAGCCGACGCACAAGAACACAGUCCACGACAAGGCCACGCAUGCCGUCGUAGACGCUGUCCGUUUCUUUUAACUACUACGUACUCGCUUAGUGUCGACACCUAUCUCUUUGUAUCUGUGUAUAUACCUACUCGUAAAAUAAAUAGAUACUAUUAUGGAUAUCUGGUUUGGCUCUAGGAAAAACAUGCUCUUGCGUGUCAAAAUUAAGUUUUACAAAUGUCAAAAAUAUUCAAGAAAAUAGAUGUAUUCGAUGUGAUACCCAAAUGAACAUGCAAAUUUGCAGGUGAAAGGCUGGAGCAUUUUGACAUAUGUAAAAAAAAAUCAAUUGAACGCUAAAUGUUAGCUUCAAAUAUUAGACUUAAUUUUGUUUUUUCGGCGACAAAGCACUGGUAUCCUAUAUGACAUGAAAAUUGUCAAGCACACUACCACACUAAUACGAGCAUCUACAAAACAGUCACAAUUUUUAAAUUUGUUUACUAUUUAGUUUGAUUUUAUUGUUCAUUGGGAAGCGUAUACUUCUAGAGCCAAAAAAAUCCACAUCUGGUAUUCUUAAUCCGCCAUAUUAUAUUGCACAACCACCUGUUGUUUCUUGUAAUCAACACGUAGUUCAACUUGAAGUUGGAUUUUUAACUUUUGUGGUAAGCCCUUGAUAAUUGGGUUAAUCCACCCACAAUAAAUAUCAAAUAUUUUAAAAAUAUAUUCAUAUAUUUUAAACGUUUACUUCAAAUUUAACAUGUUUUAUAUGAAAUGUGAUUAAAAUAAUACGUGG